rnacentral:rRNA from 1 species
UACGUAGGGCGCAAGCGUUAUCCGGAAUUAUUGGGCGUAAAGAGCUCGUAGGCGGUUUGUCGCGUCUGCCGGUGAAAGUCCGGGGCUCAACUCCGGAUCUGCGGUGGGUACGGGCAGACUAGAGGUGAUGUAGGGGAGACUGGAAUUCCUGUGUAGCGGUGAAAUGCGCAGAUAUCAGGAGGAACACCGAGUGGCGAAGGCAGGUCUCUGGGCAUUAACUGACGCUGAGGAGCGAAAGCAUGGGGAGCGAACAGG